rnacentral:rRNA from 1 species
GAUGAACGCUGGCGGCGUGCCUAAUACAUGCAAGUCGAGCGAACAGACGAGGAGCUUGCUCCUCUGACGUUAGCGGCGGACGGGUGAGUAACACGUGGAUAACCUACCUAUAAGACUGGGAUAACUUCGGGAAACCGGAGCUAAUACCGGAUAAUAUAUUGAACCGCAUGAUUCAAUAGUGAAAGACGGUUUUGCUGUCACUUAUAGAUGGAUCCGCGCCGCAUUAGCUAGUUGGUAAGGUAACGGCUUACCAAGGCAACGAUGCGUAGCCGACCUGAGAGGGUGAUCGGCCACACUGGAACUGAGACACGGUCCAGACUCCUACGGGAGGCAGCAGUAGGGAAUCUUCCGCAAUGGGCGAAAGCUUGACGGAGCAACGCCGCGUGAGUGAUGAAGGUCUUCGGAUCGUAAAACUCUGUUAUUAGGGAAGAACAAAUGUGUAAGUAACUAUGCACGUCUUGACGGUACCUAAUCAGAAAGCCACGGCUAACUACGUG